AACGAACGCUGGCGGCGUGGAUAAGGCAUGCAAGUCGAACGAGAAAGUCACCUUCGGGUGAUGAGUACAGUGGCGAACGGGUGAGUAACACGUGGGCAACUUGCCUCUAGGUGGGGGACAACCUCGGGAAACCGGGGCUAAUACCGCAUAAUGUCGCGAGGACUCCUGUCCUUGCGACCAAACGGUGGGGAUCCUUCGGGACCUGCCGCCUAGAGAUGGGCCCGCGGUUGAUUAGCUUGUUGGUGAGGUAACGGCUCACCAAGGCUCUGAUCAAUAGCCGACCUGAGAGGGUGACCGGCCACACUGGGAUUGAGAUACGGCCCAGACUCCUACGGGGGCAGCAGUCUAGAAGCAUCGACAAUGGGGGCAACCCUGAUCGUGCGACGCCGCGUGCAGGACGAAGGUCUUCGGGUUGUAAAGCACUUUUGUCCGGAAAGAAAUCCGUCUGGCUAAUACCCGGACGGGAUGACGGUACCGGAAGAAUAAGCACCGGCUAACUACGUGCCAGCAGCCGCGGUAAAGUCG
rnacentral:rRNA from 1 species